GACGAACGCUGGCGGCGUGCUUAACACAUGCGAGUCGAACGGAAAGGCCUGCUUUCCCUUGUGGAUUGCGGGUACUCGAGUGGCGAACGGGUGAGUAACACGUGAGUGAUCUGCCCCCAACUUGGGUAUAAGCCUGGGAAACUGGGUCUAAUUCCCGAUAGGACUGCAGGGUGGUGCCUGUGGUGGAAAACGAUUUUCUAGUGGUUGGGGAUGAGCUCGCGGCCUAUCAGCUUGUUGGUGGGGUAAUGGCCUACCAAGGCGGCGACGGGUAGCCGGCCUGAGAGGGUGGACGGCCACAUUGGGACUGAGAUACGGCCCAGACUCCUACGGGAGGCAGCAGUGGGGAAUAUUGCACAAUGGGCGGAAGCCUGAUGCAGCGACGCCGCGUGGGGGAUGACGGCCUUCGGGUUGUAAACUCCUUUCGACCGCGAGGAAGCCACCUGGUUGGAAGGGUGGUGACGGUAGUGGGAGAAGAAGCACCGGCUAACUACGUGC
rnacentral:rRNA from 1 species